UAGCGUACUUGUCUUUUAGAUGUACAUUUUAUCUAUUGAGGCCUUUAACACAACUACAAACUAUUUGUUUCUCAACUAGAUUAGACAUUUAUUUUUUAGGGUGAAUGUCUUAGAUGUCUCUCUAUUUGACGCUGGCAAACAAAUUAGUUAAAUAAGGUGUUGAUUAGUGGGACAUCUAAAACUUUCUGGGAGGUAAGUAUUCAGGACUGGAGUUGUAGGCUAAUACUGCUCUACCACAUGGUAUAAUUUCAUAAACAUGAUUACAUGCCUCAAAAGCUAAAACCAAUCUGAAUUCCUGACCCUUUAUGCACUUUGUAGGUAUUUAUCUGGAGAGAGGAACAAAGACGAAAGGAAAAGUGCCAUCUAAAACAACAGGCAGACAGUUCAGAAGAAACGGGUUGCGUUCAACCUACAUGUGGCCACUCUUCUGUGCAAAGUGAUGGAUUUUCAGUGGAAUUUCUGAAAUCCUCUCUUUGAAUCCUGGGAUGGAACAUCAUCUGGAGCAGAAUUGUUCUUUUUUGAUCGCAAGUUUGUUGGACUUGUUGUUUGGCCAUGUUGGUAUGUUCAUGAAGUGAUAAAAGUGAUGUGGGUUUUAAGAAAUGUUUUUAUAUGACCCUGUUGGUCAAGUUAUAGUUAUAAUUGUAUUUCUUUGUGUGAAGGGCCAUGAUGGCCAAUAAGUAAUUUAAAAACAU